UACGCAGGGUGCAAGCGUUGUCCGGAAUUAUUGGGCGUAAAGAGCUCGUAGGCGGUUUGUCGCGUCUGCUGUGAAAACUCGGGGCUUAACUCCGGGCCUGCAGUGGGUACGGGCAGACUAGAGUGCGGUAGGGGAGACUGGAAUUCCUGGUGUAGCGGUGAAAUGCGCAGAUAUCAGGAGGAACACCGAUGGCGAAGGCAGGUCUCUGGGCCGAUACUGACGCUCAUGCACGAAAGCGUGGGGAGCAAACAGG
rnacentral:rRNA from 1 species